rnacentral:rRNA from 1 species
UACGUAGGGGGCAAGCGUUAUCCGGAUUCACUGGGUGUAAAGGGAGCGUAGACGGCCAUGCAAGCCUGGAGUGAAAGCCCGGGGCCCAACCCCGGGACUGCUCUGGGAGCUGUGCGGCUGGAGUGCGGGAGGGGCAGGCGGAAUUCCUGGUGUAGCGGUGAAAUGCGUAGAUAUCAGGAGGAACACCGGCGGCGAAGGCGGCCUGCUGGACCGCGACUGACGUUGAGGCUCGAAAGCGUGGGGAGCAAACAGG